CCUACGGGAGGCUGCAGUGGGGAAUAUUGGACAAUGGGGGGAACCCUGAUCCAGCCAUGCCGCGUGUGUGAAGAAGGCCCUCGGGGUGUAAAGCACUUUCAGUGAGGAAGAACGCCUGGUGGUUAAUACCCAUCAGGAAAGACAUCACUCACAGAAGAAGCACCAGCUAACUCCGUGCCAGCAGCCGCGGUAAUACGGAGGGUGCGAGCGUUAAUCGGAAUUACUGGGCGUAAAGCGCGCGUAGGUGGCUUGAUAAGCCGGUUGUGAAAGCCCCGGGCUCAACCUGGGAACGGCAUCCGGAACUGUCAAGCUAGAGUGCAGGAGAGGAAGGUAGAAUUCCCGGUGUAGCGGUGAAAUGCGUAGAGAUCGGGAGGAAUACCAGUUGCGAAGGCGGCCUUCUGGACUGACACUGACACUGAGGUGCGAAAGCGUGGGUAGCAAACAGGAUUAGAUACCCUGGUAGUC
rnacentral:rRNA from 1 species